rnacentral:lncRNA from 1 species
GCAGUGCAAAAUCAGACGACAAUUAAGUGAGCCAGGAAAUCAAAAAGAAGAAACCUGAGAAAGAUUAUGAUAGAUUUAAAAUCUAUACAUUAGAUGAAGAAAUCAAUUGGAAGUACAAGAAAAUUUUGUUGAUUCUGCUGCUACAAAUGGCAGACUCAAAAAAAGUACAAAAUGAACAAAGGAAACAAAAUGUGAAUUUCAGUGCAGCAUCAAUGACCAGCAGAUUAAAGAAAAUCCAGGCAUGAGCUGCAAUUAACUCAGUAAGUGCUAAAAAAUUUCCCAGUAAGAAAUUCCCCAAGGGCUGCAGCUA